UUGGUAUCAAGAACGCAGCGAGGGACUAGCCCUAAGACCUGCUAGCAACCUAUCCCGAGUUUAUCGAGGGAAAAGGUGCUAACUCUAGCCAAAUAUGCUUUAUCCAAUGGAUGGGUGUAUA
rnacentral:ncRNA from 2 species